AACUCAAAUACUUACUGCAAAACCAAAAGGACAAAUAUAAAGUAAUGAUAAGGAGUAGAAAUUGAUUCUUCCCAUCACGUAAUUAAGAUUCUUGGUGCUUAUGACUGGAUUUUAGUCUUCCUUGUUCUGGUCUUUAAAUUUGGAAAUAUUUAAUCGUGAACUUACAUAGAUUGUCUUACUACCAAAAGUAGCUUGAAUCCUCAACAGGAUUACAAUGCAUUAAUAAGUUUGGGUCCUAAAUAAAAACUACAAAAUUGUUUGAUCUCUAAGAGAAUAAGAUCAAUUAUGGUAACUAAGAAAAAGAAUCAUCUAAGGCUUUACAAUCCAACAAAUCUUCCUCACUGUCACUGUAUUAGUUUAUAGUCUGACAAAAUGUACGUGUUGAGACAGAAAGUUGUAGUUUCUUAUCCCUUUUAAUCUUUACUGAGUCACAGUUUUAGUUUUCAGACAUAGUUAAUGCAUUAAAAUAUAAAUUUUAAUAAUAAAUUUAACUUUGGAUCCCCUGAUCCUUUUUAAAGGCAGACUCCUAUCUUUAUUACCCCACUUGUGCUUUUCUUAAAAAAUUUUGUCACCUUUUAAUCUUUGAAAGUCCCUAGAACAAUUUUUACAUUUCAAGUACGAAUACCUGAGUCUCUCUGUCACGAAUAAAUAAAAUCUUUAAAAAAAAAAUACCUGAGUACUGUAAAAUAUAUGAAAUCUUCCACAAAAAUAAUGUAGCAGUAAAGUCAUUAACAUUCAUAAGUCAGCUCAGAAACCAUUUAAGUUAAGCAAACUAUCUUGAUCAUCUAAAUCAAAAUGAUUAUGAUCAUUUUAAUUCACUAUGUAGUAUACAUUAAGGGUAUAAUUCGUUGUUUGGGAAAUAUUCAUUAUCAAAUAAAUAAAGCUUAAUUUCAAAAAGCAAAGGAUUGUUUUCCAAAACACAGAUCUAGCUUUGUACAGUGUACAAAUCAAAAUUUCAUCUGAUUGUAGGAAACAUGCCACUUGAAUGUUAUGAAAUCAAGUCCUACAGUUUCUAUUUAUAAACUUCAGAACAUCCUUGAAUUUAAAUUGUAAAGGUUAAUUACAUUCAGAAAUAACAGCCAAUUUGAAAAUUAGAAGUUUGUAUUGAGCCGCUCAGCCCGGAAGGUCAAAGUAGUUGGUAAAAUGAGGAUAUUUAGCUUUGAAGCAUAAAAAUUUCUUAAAGGAAAUUAAUUAUGUCAAACAUAUAAAUGAUGAAUUCUCAUAAAGAACUGUGAUAGCCAGCUACAAAUGUUACAUUAAAUACACUAAAAUUUCAAGUGUAUCUAAUAAUUAGGGGGAAAAAAAAAUCCAACAAAUUUGUUAUUGCAGCAUUCUAAAUCUCAAUCGUUUAAAUACAAUUUCACACCGUAACUAUUUUUUAAAGUCAACCUUCUGCAUUUAUAUUGUUAAUAUUUUAGAAUGUCUACCAUGAAGAGUCAGGUACACUAUAUAUCACGUUAUUCACAUCAUUUCUUCACAGAAACAGCAUUUCUAAUGCAAAAAUUACAAAUUAUUCCCUGUAUAUAGGAAUAAGAUACUCUUUAAUAUUUUUAUCACAUAAUUAAGGACUAAAAGUAUUUUAGGAGAUUAGAAACUCCAAAUACUUUCUGUAGAUUAGGAGACUAAGGUCCAGAGUCAAUGUCAAGAUUACAGGGCUAAUCUACACUUAGAAGCUCCCCUCCAGAUUGCUGAAUCACAGCUGUAUUUUCCACUCUAUCACACACACCACUCAUUAAUGAAGAUGAAGAUGUCCUCUUAUUAUUUAUUCCCCCUUACAUCUCUCAACAAAAAAUCUUGGAGGACAGAAAGUAAAUUAAUUGGUUGUCCAGUCCAAAUUUUUAAGCAAUCAAAAAACUACAAAUAACAGAGAAUUCAACUUGGAAGAAAAUUUAUAUUCAAAGUUACCUGUAUCAUAUAAUGUAGCCUCUAAGUAGCACACCAUAGUUCAUGAAAACGUUGUAAUUAACUAUGAGCAUGGCUGCUUUCAUUUCUGUGGAAUUUCAGGUACUUUUUUAAAUAGUACCAUAGUGACAAAUGCAAUAAAACAUUGUCACCAAUUCAAUCAAGUGAUUUUUAUGAUUUAAUAGUUCAAAAUGCCAAAAUAAAAAUGCGUCACCUUAGUUCUUAGGCAAAAUACAGUUAGUAAAGUAAAUGUUACUUUUUAAAUGAAAUUUGUCCAUUACUUUGGUCUAUCAAACAUACUGCCCAUUUUACAAGCAUGAUUCAAGCAGCAAAUAUCAGACCACUGAAUAUAAGCAUCAUCAUGAAGGUCAAAAUACAUGUUAAGACCUUUUUAGAAUGUGAUUUGCUAUAAUCCUUUAUCUUGUUGGUGAUAAAAGGGAAGUUGUAUUCCACUAGAUUCGGGGGUUAAUUUAGAAGUUACUAAACCAUUUAGAUUUUUUUUAAUAUUUAUUGAUACUGGAAUAAAAAAACAAAACAAAAAUAAAAAUCAUCAUUUAACAUUUCUAACCUUGACCAUUCAUUUUUUAUUUUAAUGGGUCAAACUGUAUCUUCGGUAGCCAUCAAUUUAUUGCUGAUUUGUACUUAAAAUUACAUUAUACUUCACAUACACUUGUGAUUAAGAGGACAAUUCUCAGUUUUUAUAAGAGUGCCCAAUUCUCAGUUUUUACAAUAGUACACAACCACAGCUGAAUACUAAUCUAAUAUCCUAUCAUUUGCAUACAAGAAACCCUAACCUUGGCAUUUGUGUUAAAGGUUAAAAUGAAAAGCGUUUGUAUGUUAGAUCUUUAAAAACACUAUAGUUAAAAGUCUAACAUUUAGUUUUCUUUUGCACACUAAAAUAUACACAAAUUUGAUCAAAUCGCAAAAUGACUGAAAAGCAAAAAUUAAGCUAGAACAAACGCAACAAAAAUAUUACCUUUAUCACCUAUUUCAAUGAAUACAAUAAGCCAACAUCAAGAUAUAAAAGAUUUCAAGGGUAAAGAUAAAUUUGCCUUCAUAUUACUUAUUUGGCUAUUCUUAAAAUAUCCUAAGAUAUCUUUUUUACUAUAUAUACAUAUUUCUCUGCUAAAUCCCUAACAUCAGCUUGACAGUAAUUUCCAUGUUCAGUGUUAACUCAAAAAGAACAUUUCUUGAAAAAUAUUAGCAGAUGUAUUUUUUUCAUUCACAUAUCUAGUUUUAAGGUAUCAAACUAUCCCAUACAUGUUGAAAAUUAUUUUCCUUUUAUGUUUUAAAAAUAAUUUUACUAAGCUAUAAAUUACAAGUCUCUUUAGAUGUAUUAUUCUAAUUUCCUAUAAGAUAACUCAUUUUAGUACCUGUUUGAAAACAAAAUCAUAAAGACAAGUAAAAUAUAUUAAAUCCAUUAAUAAGAACUGAAAUGUGAAAGUGUCUUCAAUUUUAAAAAUAUACUUCUUUUAAGAACUGUAAGAUCAGCAAAGGGAAAAUUCUAGGCCCUUUCAAAAACAUGAUCUAGAUCGUCAAAAAAAAAAAAAAAAAAAGGCUUAAGAAUUUCAGAUUAUAAAGCCAUAUGAUGCUGAUAAUUCAACUACUGAUUUAACCAUAAUCCUGAUGCAAUAUAAUACUGAAAAGUACUGAAUGUCUUAUUGCUGAUAUAAACUACAUACAUCAACUGUUUAAUAGAAUACAAAAGUGCUUUGAUGUAAGGUAAAGGAAUUUGAUGGGCUUUUUCCUCAUCUCCUUUUUGAGAUAAACAGUCUACAUUUUAUGUUUCAUUGACAAACUUCAGUGAUAUUUUCCUUCUCAAAUGUUGGUAGCUAUUAAAUUUCAGAUGUUGAAUAAAACAUUUACUUACUUGCUAUAUAAAAUAAAGAUUUUAGCAAAUAUUUCCUUUUAUAUACUCAAGGAUAAAACUCCAUGGAUCUCAGUCUUCAAAAUGGCAUACCUUUUGGAGGAGAAAAGAAAAACACACACACCAAUAUUCUAAACAAUUUAUUGAUGGAACAACAAAUAGCAAGUAGGAGUAAGUGUUUUAAAACUUUUAUUAUAUAAUUGAGAACAAAAACUAAAAUCCAUGCUCACAAAACUUGAUUUUUAAAAUGUUCUUCCCUAAAAUGAACUACUAUGAAUACUGACUAGCUCAAAUUUUCCAAAAAUUUCAUCUUUAAAUACUUAAAAAAUUAGUUUGCACAGUACACUAGAGAAUUAGAAAGAAAAAAAAUGUAUCUUUGGUUCAGUUUUUCUCAAAAUAUAAUCAGUCUUUUCUUGUUCCCAAAAUUAAACAAAGGCUUAAGAGACCUUCAGGAUUUUAAACUAUUCAAAAGGCACAUUAAGUUACAACGGCUAAGCACAUAUACUUUUCAUUCGAUAGACAGGUUUAAAGGUUUGGCAAAAUUAUUUCAGCUAUUUAGUAUAUUCAUACUUAUCAUCACUAUUUACUAGAAAUAUAAAUUACUAAAGAGCAAAAUAAAAACCAAAUAGGCUUAUUUUUAAGUGAAAGUAAUAAAAAUUUAUGGUCUUACCUCAAAUAAAAGGGCUGUAUUUGUUCAGAACCAUCAUCAACCAAUUUAAUUUUAAUCUUGUUAGGUUACCUUAAAAAAAAAAAAAAA
rnacentral:lncRNA from 1 species